AAUUUAAUUAUCAAAUUAUACAUAAAAAUAUAAGUUGAUUUUCGGUGAUUCAGAUGUCUACUUAGAUUGAAGUCCCAUAGCCUCCACUGUACAGCUACAUGAAUAUAUUGCGUAAAAGGUUUUAAAAUUGCCGAGGCAGAUUACUUUUGGGUAGAAGGGAGCGGAAGGCACGCCCUUUUCAAGGAGCUUCAUGUAUGGUUGAUGCGUAGUCCUUUUUUUUUUUUUUUUAAUAAAGUUGACUUGCUAGACCCCUCCCCC
rnacentral:lncRNA from 1 species